UUUGAAGAAGUGUGCAUAAAUGGUGCAUAUAAAGCAUUAAAGAUAUGUCUGCUGGAGCAAUGACAACCAUAGGGAGAUAUCCUGGUACACUGAGUGUAUUUACAAUCAUGGUGGACUUGCACCAAAGAUUAGCAUUUAAUCUGUUGUCUUUCUACAUUAACCAGAGAUAAAUUUUCUGUAAAUAUGUGGUUUGAUGUAUUGUGUUGCAUGUGAUGCGAAAAGAAUGACGUUUUUCUUUAACAAGAUUAAAUUUUGAAUUGGAUUUAUGGAAAAAAAGCUUUGGACCGCAAGAGAUAAAAAAACUAGCAGAAAUAUAUGAAUUGCAGCUUUAGCGAAGAUCAAGAUUUCAAGUACUGGCUGGUGUUGGUCUGUGUCAGUUAGUAUUUACCUUGUCGGAUCACUGUUGAAUCUCAUCAUAGUUUGGCAUGGAACCUCCAAAUUAUUUUUUGAAGAAUUUUAAUUAAAAAGGGCAUCAAGUCCAUUUUUCAUUUUGGCGCAUUGUGACUUGUUGAUUGGCAUGGAGUUGCAUGCUAUGCCAGACAAUGACAUUGAUGCUUAAAUCCUUGGGAAAAAUAGAAUUGAAGAGGUGACCUAGUAGAGUAAAUGAGCAUGCAGUAUUACAAUGCUAUUGGUUUUGCUAUAUAGGGUCUACUAUCCAAAAUUAAUGGAGAGAUGGAUGAAGAUAUAUGUCUAGGAUUAAAUCCAAUUGGAUGAUGUGUUCUCAGGUACCAUGUCAUGAAGGCAUGCCUUUGGUGCUGAAUGUUGAAAAUUGGGAAAUAAAAAUGCAUGUCAUAUAGGGUUAAACUAAGAACUUGAAAAUCAAAAAAGAACAUGGAAAUCAAAGAAUUACAUAUGUUUUGGAAAUGGCCGUUCAACUCUAGAGACUCUUUAAGUGACAUUCUUUAGGAGAUGAUCCUUUUGUAAGGGAAACUUCUAUCACUUAUAGGCUUGAUAGGUUUAAUUUGUAAAUAAAAGUCUUCUUUAUUCUCUGUUUUUUCACUGUUUUCUCUUUAUUCCUAUUUCUUUUUUCUUCUUUGUUUUGUGUUUUUUGGAAAUCCUUAUAAAACUUGAUUUGUUUGAGCCAUCAUCCGAAGCUUAAAGCGUUGUUGUAUGCUUGAUACAUUCUAUAGACUAUAGAGCCGCACUUUUUUGAAAACUUGGACCUAUAAUCAGCAUCAGAGUCGAACUCUUAUUCCUAGCCAGCCUGAAAUUUUGGAUGGCCAAGCACCUGCCGUAUAAUUUAUUUUUGCAAAUUUAUUUUGUAGGUUAGUUCAUCCGGUAAAUGAAGUUUAUUCAUAUGUGAAAUUGGCUGAAAGGCCUAUAAAAAUAGGCCUAAGGUCUAUGGGCUCUCCUCACAAAUCGGUCUUGGAAUUGCAAUGGGUGAUUCUACAACGAUUGUUUCUAGUGCUUUUGAUCCUUCUUUCCUAGGUCUUCCUUUUGAGAGAUCCUGGUAGAUGAGGGAUGAGUUGCUCUCUCUCUCUCUCUCUCGUGCAUGGUGGUUCCCAUGACAAGAGCCCCUGUAACCCUGCAGGAUCAGGAGAAUAUUAUUGAUUUCCAGAUAUUGAAUGGUCAAUGAUGAGGUGCUAUUACUUUUUUCCUAAAGAUUUUUUUUCUGGGACUCUUCUUAUGAUGCAUGGUGACAACCACUUAAGACUUUUGGAUUAGGUGACUGGUUUUGGUCGAAACAUGCAUAAAAGUCAAUUUAUUCGGAUGGUGGGACUCAUGGUAGAGCCAAGGAAGAGUGUUACUGCUGUUGUGAACUGGCUAUUAAUAACAAUUACAAUAACGAGGUGGAACCCAUGGACAAACAUCUUGUUUGGCAUCAGGGAGAUGACCUUGCUUAUAAAAGAUGCUUCAACAAUGUUAGACAUCUGCGCUGAAUCUAGGAAUGACUUGAAUCUGAUGAGUAUCAAACAGCUUAUUUUAUGACAUCUUUUUGAUUUGAGAUCAUAUUAUCAAAAUUUUCCCCUAUUGUGAAAGAAUGGAGAAUUGAUUUGUGGCUGAUUGCUAAAUCUCAAGCAUCUAUGUUGACCACUAACAUCAAAGAUGUUCAGGAAUGAGUGGAAGGGGAAUUUGAAGGUAAGUAGGGUUACAUGUUCCCUGUAUGCUAGCUAUUUCUUUUGCUGAAUGGGCACUUCAUGCAUUCUUGACAACCUAUGCAAUUGAUUUUUCAAUUGAUCCUAGCAUGUGGGGCCUUCUUUGAGCCUUCACAUCCUCUACUUGGCUUAACGAUCACUUUUCAAUGGCUCCUCCAUAUGCAAAGAAUGGCAUAGCCUCUUCAAAUGCAGGAAUUGUAAGGGAGCUGUUGCCAUCUAGCAUUAGAUGGAAAGAAAGAAGAAAGGGGAAGAGGUCUUUGGUGAGAAGAGAAGAAAGGAAGAAGAAAAAGGAGAGAACGAGGAAAAUGGAAGAAGAAAAAAAAAGGAAGAAGAGAGGGGAAAAUGGAGGAAGAAAAUGAGGAAGAAGAGGAGGGGCACAGUGGUUUAAACCAUCCCAAUUUAGAUGGGGAGAAGCCCAGUGCCAAAAUCUUUGGACAAUAGGGCUAUUGCUGUCUAAAUUCAAAACCUCUAGGAACCUAGGUGACAUCAUCAUGGGGGCACAUUAGCCAUCAGAUUUGAAUGGAAGUUAGGAAGCCAACUGAAUUGUUGAGGAGAACUUUUAAACCCUGCAUAACCACAUAUUGUCUAGUAACUUGUAUCAAAAUCCAUUUUUUUAAUGCUUAACUAAGGCAAACUAGGAAACAAUCAACUAACGCUGAUCAACUAGACUUUCUGGGAAGUGAUCUAGGAAUUUGUUGACUGACAUUUUCUAGACAAGAAAACACAUUGCUUGGAAGUUUUAAGGUCGAGACUUGUGUCGACACCUAGUCCUCAAUAUUGAAUCUUCAUAGUGAUGACACUUGUGGAAGUUAGAUACAUGAAGUCUAGGUUGUUGUGUUUCUCCUAUGCUAAUGGCUCGAGGAUGACCUUUAGAUGGUCACGACUAUGCAGCUGUAAGUAAUAAGAUCUUGAUAGCUUGUAAUUGAGUUCAAUAUUAGUUGGGAUCUGCGGAUCUACCAUGUGAAAUUCCAAGUCAGUGAACAUGUCCUGGAACCUGCAAACAUCGAAAGAAGAAUCUACCAUAUUGGGGUUCUAGGUAAGCAUCUGAGCUUAGGGUGUUUGAUCUCAAAAAUUCUGAAUGUCUUGAAACAGUAGUAUGUCAUGUAUGUUAGAAAGGAUUUUUCACCAAUCAGUAUGCACUCAGAGUUGUCUAAAAUGGGGAUGUAGAUAUCCCUCAACACUGGAGUCACAUCAACAAGUAUUUUGCACUAGUCAGUGCACUUAGAGUUGUCUAAAAUGGGGAUGUACGUAUCCCUCAACGGUGGAGCCCCUUCAACCAUGUACUCACUUAUGUGGUCAAAGAAUUUUUGCCAUACGAUUUGGUCACAAGAAAAUUGAUUAAAGGCAUCUAGAGUCACAAAAAGAUGAGCUAUGGAGAUGUAGUACUCGAGUUGCUAGAAGUUGUGGACUACUAAAAAAUCUUUGUCCUUUGUUGUAUUAAUAAGGGCCCUAUACAAAUGAGCUAGAGGCAUCUUCUUGUUUUGGAGGUGGCGGUAAAUCAGUUGCACAUGCUACAAAGAGAGGGUGAAGUGCCCAUUUGAGAGUAGAUUAAGCCACAUAUGUAACACACAACCCUAUUGACCUUCAAGAUCUCCUUCAACUUGUGCUUAAGCAUAAACUGGAACUCAUUGGGGAAUCAAAGAUCAUCCUACGGCUAUCUCAUAAAUGGUCUCAUAUUCUUCAGUCUCCCUGGCCACUAGAUCUAUGAUCACCAGAACUAUCAUCGCUUCUCCCUUUGGUCUUUGAAUCUGAGUGAAUUGACUCCUCCGCACUCUCCAUUGGGCUGCAACUCCUUUUCUUUUUCUAUCAGGCUGCGUCGAGAAGCUGCUUGCUUUUCCUUCAUGCUCCUCUGCCUGACUAUGCUGGGAGAAUGAAUGUCGCCCUUCUGACUAAGUCAACCGGGUAUGGUGGCAUCGUCUAAGAAACUUUUGCUCAUAUUUCAAGAAGGAUGUCUCAAACAUGGAGUCAUAUGAUGAUCGGCUCUCCAGUGAUCCCUAUGGUUGUGGAUCUUCAGCUGGAAGCAUGCAUAGAAUAUUGUGAUCUGCCCAUUGCUUUUCAUCCAUCCUAUCCUCGUUGGAUACAAAACUAGACAAUCGUGGAGGCGAUCCUGGUUCAUCAAGCUCUGACUCCUACUGCUGGCCUACAAGCCAUCCGAUCAUAGGAUCAUUCUCAUUCUGAACAGAAGCAUUGUGGGUCGGAUAUGUGUACUUCGGCUCUACUAUCUUUUGAAUGCACUUUAGCCUCAACCUCAGAUUGUAGUGGACAUUUAUGAGAUCGCUGAGGCGUCUCUAUAUCACACGAUUUCUUUGCUUGCUGUGGAUGACAAUGAAGGUGGAUUAGUUGCGCUCAUAGCCACCUGAGGAGACCAUCUAAGAGAGGAUUUGAAUAGCUAACCGCUUAAGAUUUCUUGCCGAUAAACCAAAAUGAAUCUAUCAUUCAGCUGCAAAAGUAUUGAAGAAAUUACAUAUAAAAUAGUAUCAUAUUAAUAACUAUAAAACGUUAUAUUUUUUUUUAUGACAGCUACCGAGACUCUAAAGUUGUUAAUGCCCUUCCUAAAUAUUUUUAUCCGUGAAAAAGAUACAUAUUAUAAUAUGUUAAUGAUUGAAGACACGAGUUAACUUACACAUGCCACUUAAGUUAACUUAUCUCUUGUAGACAUAGGGCCACGACUUCUGGAUCAGGCUUCAUCUUGUAGAUUACAUUACAUAGAGUGGUUCGCAUCAGUUCCACUCUAAACCUCUUGGUGCGAAGCUGUUUAUUGCCUUUCUUGGAAAGACGUGCGAAACAAUUUCAAUUCCGCGUUGGUUCGGUUCGGUAUGGGUGAACCGAGCAAUUCGGCCCGAUUUGGCAUACCAUGCCUUGGAGCAUAUGUGGCACAUCCAUGAUUCAGGACGUUCAGAAAAUUUGAGACCAAAAUCCUGUGCUUAUAUACUUCUUAGGAUAGGACCAAGUGGUAAAUUCUUCUAUCAACAUCAACAAGAUCGAGGACAUGUUGACUCACUAGGAUUUCAUAUUACAACUAGCGAAUUCGAACUAAAAUUGGACAAAAUGAUAGGAUUUUGAGAUCUUGUUGCUUGUAUUGCUAUGACCAUCUUAAGAUGAUCCUCGGACCAUCGGCAAAGAAGGAUAACAGCCUGGCUUAACUAACCUAUUGUUGAGUGGUGCUGCCAUCGUUGGUGAAAGUUUGAUCUUGAAGCCUAUGAGGCCUGGAUAUAGGCAUUGAUCUUGAGAAUUCCAAGCAGCAUUUUCCUAGCUAGGAAAAUGUGAGCUAAUUACUUCCUAGAUUAGUUCCUAGUUAGUGUUAGUUGAUUAUUUCCUAGUUUGCCUUAGGUGUGUAGAAAAUAAUUAUGCAACGGCAGUAAGUUCGGUGAUGGUACAUCGCUUAGUAUGUUGGCUAAUAUGGUAUAAGAAAGCAAGUUAAAUGUAGUAGUAUUGUAAUAUUGAGAUGGAUGUGUGGUGAAUUUAUGAUGUAUGGAGUGAAAAGUAAGAAUUGAAGUAGCCACAGGAGAUGCAGAAAUUAAGGAUAACGUAAGGGAGAACCGCUCUAUAGCUGAUAAUGGGCAUGUACAACAAAGAUAUGAGGGGGUUCUAGCAAGCAAGGGUACUUAACGAUGUGUUGAAGGAUGUAUGAAAAUGAGGGAAAGAACUAAGGUAAUAGAAAUGGAAGUUGUGAAAAACAUAUGGAAAGCAUGAAAUUGCAUUUUGGGUAGUGGCAAACAAGAAUGCUUGGCGAAUGAGGAUCCGUAAAUCUAAUGCAAAUAUCUGGGACAAGGUUUGAUGAUUGUAAUUAUGUUGUACAUAUUCUUUUCUUUGUGGCAUUUGUUGUAGUGGUCUACCCCACUUAUGUCAAAGCAUUCAUACUUGACUUUUUAUCCACUCCUUAAGCUAUAGUUGUUUUGUGUGAUCGCAUGGACUGCAUGUAUCUUUCAUAACAUCCACGUGCCAUUAGAUAAUUUUGCUAUUUAAAGCAUUGCAACUUGAUCUAUAUCUUACCAUACACUUGCAUUGCAGACACUAUAUUUCAGGUUUUGAUUCCAUUUCUUGUGGCUUUUCCUAACAAAGCAAUUUUUAAGUUGGUAUCUUGUAGAAUUAUACCCUGUUUCGGCAAUUCUUUUCUCUUUUACAAGUACCUCAGGCAAAUAAUCAUAUUUCUUCAUUUUAGUCUCUCUCUUGAAAUUCUUACACAUACCAGUGACCAAAUAAAUUUUGUUUAAUGCAGUGUCUCUUGGAACUUACAAAUACUAGAGUUCAAUCAUCAUUGUCAUCAUCAUCAUGAUCAUCAUUGUUGUUGUUAUUUGUUAUUAAAUGAUAUCUAUCAAUUAACUGGUCUUGCAUGUAUUUCUAGAAUUGCUGUUCGUACAUCAAUAAUUAGUUCUAGGUCUUUUAUUUGAUUUCCCAACACAGGGCUGUGUUCAAAUUUUUACAUUCAUGGCUGUUUAACAUUUUUUAGGGUCAGUUAUAUGAACAGUUUCCUGUAUCAUAACUGUCGAACUCAUUGAGACAAUCUUUGAAGAUUUGCAAGUAUGUAGCUAUGACAUUUUUAACUAAUAAAAAAAAACACCUGCCACGUCCACUAACAGGGCAGACCUGGUUGUACCUUUUUUGUUGUCAAAAUGUAGUACAUGUCACACUUUGAUUAAAAUGAUAAGCAAAUGGCAGGACUCUAUCUCUCUUUCUCUCUCUAUGUGUGUGUGUUUCUAUGUAGCUCGGCAUUCUAAUAAUUACAAUUGGUUUUGGCCGUGCAAAUGGGCAGGGGAUAUGUUUACUGAGGAACAAAAUGAGUUGGUCGAAUCAGCAGCGGAGAUGUUAUAUGGUCUGAUUCAUGUAAGAUACAUACUGACCAGCAAAGGAAUGGCUGCAAUGGUAGGCUCUCUCUUGGCUUUGAUGUGCUGUUUGGCUUUGUCUACUCGUUGCAUUCGAUAGUCCUAUUUGGCUUGAAAAUGACUACUUCAACUGGAUAUUUUUACAGUUAGAGAAGUACAAGAAUUAUGAUUUUGGAAGAUGCCCAAGAGUUUAUUGCUGUGGUCAGCCCUGCCUUCCAGUUGGGCAAUCAGACAUUCCUCGAUCUAGUACUGUUAAGAUCUACUGUCCAAAGUGUGAAGACAUAUACUACCCUAGAUCUAAGUACCAAGGCAGUAUCCUUUCAAUUUAUCACUAUUUUUUCAAACCUUUAACUUCUGCAUUAGGAAAUAAAUAAACCAGUCUUCACACACACAUGCACUUAGAAUCCAAAUUUGUUGGAACCUAUCAGCGUAAAAUCAAAGAUAAGCCAUGUAAAUGGAGGACCCACAUCAUCUCUUAUGAUUGAAAUUGCUUAAAAUGCUUUUAGAAAAAAAAAUAAUCUCCCUUGUUGUCUCGUACCUAUGCAUCAUAUGGAUAAAAAGAGUAACCAUAUUCUCUAAUUUGUUGGAAAAUUAUCAAAUUAUUCUUGAUUUUCUCUUAACUGAAUGAGUCUCUAAAUUAUUUUUCUUAAUCGAACUAUUCAAGCAUUAUUCAAUUAUUCCUAAGUUACUAUGUAUUGUUGUUGGUGCUGGUAUUUUUGCUAUCCUUAUUGUUCUUGCCUCACUCUUGCUAUAUUGUAAAAAUUUCUGUUUGUUUUCUCCCUUUAAUUCUUUUUGAAUGUCUAUCUGAACUCAUUUCAUUUGACAAGUUUGCCUCUUUUUUUUUGAAAAAAAAUCUGAAUCUUUGACCCUAGCCUAAUUGUUUUCAAAUUCUGAAUUUGUGACUUUGGAUACAACUCGGAUGGUACCAGUAAAGUGUGUGCUUGUUUUCCCAUUUUAAUUAGCAUUCCUUUCUGUUGACCAUGGAUCACUAUGUUAAAUCACAUGGUUGUAAUUUUUAUAUUGAUGCUUGUAAGCUGUAAGUCAAAUCAAAACAUUUUUACAGGCCAUUCUAACUACAUUUUGUUUCUAUUGAGGCACAAGUAGGAGACACAAAAUGUUGUGUCCCAAAUUCGGAGCAUGACAUGGUCGUGCUACCGUAGGGUAUUGCCCACAAUUACACGAAGCCCAUAAUAAAAAGUUCUUCAUAAAAAUUUAUAGAAUAAUAAAUUCAGUCCAAUUCCAUUCGCUAAACAAAGAGAAGUAGGUACAGAGCGUCUAAAUCGAACAUUUGAACAUUCAGGACUACAUAACCCAAACUUUAUGGUCAUAACUAUAUUUAUUGAUAGCUUGCAACUAUACUUCAAGCUUUAUACUUUCAUUCUCCAUUCAUUUAUUCUUUUCUGCUUCCAGCAACCUUAAGUAUCUGAAAGAAAAACAUGAAGAGAUAAAUGAGCUGUGGCUCAGUGAGUAACGAUGCACCACCUUACCAGAUCAAGCAUAAAUUUUUACAUGAUUUAAUGCAUUAUUUGGAAAGUGAAGUUAUACUGUAAAAUAAAAUACUUCAUAAACAUAAUAACAAACUCUUAUAACAAAUCAAUUACGUAUGCACAAAUUAUGCAAGUUCGUAAAGCUGAAGGUGCAAUUUAAAAUAUCCACAAUCAUUAAAUGUUUACCAUUUAUUUAUACUUUUAAUCAAAAUAGUGCUCACAGAUUUUCGCGCUACGGUCACUAUAAUCUGUGACAGGGCCGUUUUCGUUGGAUGCUAGCUCCAGGGUGUCGAUUGGCUUUCAUUUCUAAUGGCGGUUAUAGCUAUCUGAAAACUUGUAAAAUAUUUUAUAUUUUUCAUAAAUCAUACCUUUAUAAAUAGAUUGGAAAUGCUAAAUGGCAUCGCAAAAGUUAAAAUGCAUAAUCAUGCCAUAUAUAUCAUUUUCAUAAUAACAUGCAAUUUUUCAUAAUCAUAAUUCAUAUGUAAAUCAUUUAUAAUGAAGUAUUCAAUAAGAAUGCUAUUUUGCCAAGAAUAUGGAUCAUUUUCAAUUAUACUAAAUUUUUUUAAGAAAAUGCACGAUCAAUCAUGUUAAAUAUAAUUUUAUAAUUUCAUACUAAAAACUGAUCUAUAAUUUGAAAUUAAUAAGGUUUGUGUCAAGGUCACUUAUUUCUGUUCGCCCAAAGAUCACUAGGUUCAGCUGGGUAAAUCUGCUGGACCUAUCAAAACCGUUUAAGAAGAAUAAAUUAUUUGCUAUUCAUUAUUUAAAGAUCUAAGUAUAAAUUAAAAAGCUCUAAGCAACCCAAAAUAGACUUGAGCAGGUUUCAAGUCCCGACUAGAUAAAUCGGUUUAGGAUCUACAGAUCAAGUAGAGAGAGAAAGGUUGAACCUAGGAUCGGACCUCGCUUACUGGUUCCGAUCUUUUAGAGAGAGAAAUAGGGAGAUUAGAGAGAGAAGAGAGAAGGAACGAGAUAUAGAGAGGAAGAGAGGGAUGAGUUUUUCUCUCUCCUCUUCUUCUCUCUCAUCCUUCUUCUUUUCUUGGUAAUCAGGAGAAGGAAGUGGGUGGAUCAAUGGUUGUCGUGGUUAAGGUCCGGCGGUGGCAGCUGGAGGCGGUGACGAGUGGUGGGGAGUGACUGGCAACGGCUGAUGGGGAUGGCCAUGCUUAGGAAAAACAUAGAAAAAACAAGGUAGACGGGCAGUGCCCCUAGCUACCUUGGGGCAACCUUCUCGGCCCAAGGAGGCUUUGACAGGGGAUGGGGAACUUACCGGCGAGAGAUGAAGGUGGUGUACUUCGGCCGGCGGUGGCGAUUUCCAGUGGAUCUUGACGAGAGGAUGAGGCCGGCAACCGGGGGGGGAGGAGCCGGCGGCAGUUCAAUAGCCCCGCGGAGCCUCAACAGCCACGGUUUGCCGUGGCUUAUCUCAACGAAAGAGGGGAAGCAGAGGAUCGCGGGCAUUGUUUGUUUCGAUCCCUUCUUCUGUUCUCUUUUUUUUUGAAUUUGAAUCAAAGCCGGUUGGGCCUGCCGACUUUGGUCCAGUCCAAGCCUUUUUGGCCUGAUUCUUACACAAAGUAUGUGCUUCUAUUUAAAUGUUUUAGAUUCUGACUAGUGGUAUAAAUUCUCUCGUUUGAUUGUAAAUUGUUGGUUUUGCACCGGUGGAAUCAAGACUUUUAUCAUUUCAAUAGGUCUCUCCCCCUUCCCUCUUCCCCUGCGCCCCUUCCCCACCCCCUGCCCUCCACACACACACUGACAGACACAUAUUGGAUAUUCUCAAGGAUCCAAGUUAGAUGUAGUGGUUGGCAUCAAGGGGCUGCCUAAAUGCAUGGAUGCGAGCCCUAUCUGCUUAAGGAAGCCAUGGAUACAACAUUUGUCCUUGUUUUGACAUUUUAAACCAUGUCAUUCAUGUGGGAACUUUCUGCAACAGAUAACUGCAUCUUGGACGGUCUUAUUUUUUUUCUAAACAGUUAUAAUCAGGCUGCUUUUUUAGUCUCAUCUUUCUUUUAUGGGAUUCUUUUUCUUGACAUUGUAUAGAUGUUGAUGGAGCUUACUUUGGCACCACCUUCCCUCACCUGUUCCUGAUGACAUAUGCACACCUGAAGCCGCAAAAGCCAUCACAGCGUUAUGUUCCAAGAGUAUUUGGCUUUAAAAUUCACAAACCAUGAUGUUGGAGGUGGAAUAUUUAUAAUGAAACAGCUCAUAAGCUUCAUCAUUCUACUUUUAUUAGAGGAGAUACUCUGCGCAACCCUGCAAGGUGAUUAGAGUGCAAGAUCAAACUAAUUACCAGUUUUAUAUAUUGAAGAAACAUCUGAAACUAAUGAAGCUAUUGCUUUAUUUGAUAUUAGCUGUAACUAAAGUGCCUUCUUAAAUUUUCACGGUUUGAGAAUUAUUUUCAUGCCUCAUUUUUGUAACUGCCCGUAUUGCCCUUAAUUGAUUGGAUGCAUGUUUGCAUACGUAAUCUCUCUCUCUCGCUAUCUAUCUCUAUCCCCCCCCCCCCAAAGAAAAUAAAAGAUGAUAUGUCAAUUAGUGUUUUUUAUAUGCUGGCCGUCGAUAAAGGCUAUGGAUAUUGAUCUUAUUGGUUUAAUUAGUUUAUGCUCUCCAUCAAGUCACAGCCAUUCAGAUGCAUUUUGUAGGUUCUUUUUUUUUUUUGGUUGAAUGCGGAGAGGCAAGCUUUUUUAGUUUUUAAAUUAAUGCCUGUGAAGUGAGGGACUUUUUUCCCCGUUUCAGUUUGCUAUUGAAAGCUAUGCUAUUCAGGAAGAGCUGCAACGAGAUUUGAUAGUAUAUCUUUUCCAAUGCUAUUCUUAUCUAAUUUUUUGCUUGACUAAAGCUGCAUUUGUCUGUCUCCUCUUUCCCGUACUGUUUUUUAUUUUUUGGCCCCUCCUAGUGCUCCAUCCCUCGGAUGAAAGAUCCCCAGAGGCUGAUAUAUUGCAUACCUGGUCGUCGGCCCAUUUCAGUGUUAAUUGAACCUUAGUCCAUCGAGCACUAAUUCUAUAUCCUAGUUCAGAUUUCCUGGGAGUUGCACCAGAAAGCUGAAUGCAUGAUGGCUUCUUGGGGUGCCAAGAGACUUGCAGUAUAAUCAUAUCUAUACAGCAUAAACCCGGGAGUUGAUUGUUGGUGAAGCUUCUGCUUCCACGGCCAUGGCCGCUAACGGGUUCAACAAGAGCAUUCGCUAACAUAAAUGCCCUUAUUUAUGUGCAUGUUUCAAAUUAGCUGGGGGCUGCUAAUGAGGCAGAAGAUAUUAGAGAUAAAUGGCUAUCGUAUCUCCAGCAAAAUGUUUAUUCUUGGCCGUCUCAACACUUCCUACUGUGAAUCUUUUCAACUCCUUUAUCUUGGAAUAAGAGGCGGAAUGUUAAUUUGAAUGACAAAUGAUUGGUAGAUUCAACGAUCUGAAUAGCAUUCACAGUCUGCUCAUGAACUGGCCCAAUCCCUCUUUUUCCUUCAGGUGAAUGUAGUGAGUUUAGAGAUGAUACUGAAAUAGGAGAUAGCUUUUAUCUUCAAUCGUAGCUUGACAUAUUGCGACAUAAUAAAAGUGCAUUCCUCUUACAUACUUAAACACAAAUAGAGUCUAUAUAUUUACACAUUGACACAGUGAGAUAUUGGAAGCUCUAGAACCAUGCUGAACUACAGAGCUUUUCUCUGAAAUAUUGUGCUUCGAACAAAUUCAGUAGAAGCUUGCACACCAUCUUGCCACACCAAUCUAAUUCUUCACCGGUACCAUGUAGAAUGAUACAAUCUUACAUAGGACCGUUUGAUGCCUAGGUGAUCCCGAAGGAUCCUUAGACUCGAUGUGCACCGCUUUAACCACUAUGAGCGGGUUAGAUAGGAUUCAGAAGCGCCGUCCGCCAUAUCAAGAAGCCGAGUCGCAAACUAAACUUUAAGAGGCCAUAAUUUGGUCAUAUGAUGCCCGAUUGAGAUCUUUUUUGAAAUUGGGUAUCUUUUCGAGAUCUGCAACUUUGAGCUAAUUGAAUCAUACCAAAAUUUCAUCGUUUAGGCUCUGAAAUAAGCUGGCAAACUGAAAGUUUUCUUUUUGAUAAGACUUUAACCGUGCAUAGCUCUCUAUAUAAGAAGAAUCAGGUGGAGAAACAGAAGAAAAAGUUGAUGUAAAAGUCGAGAUCUACCUCCUUGAGAUUUUUAACUUUUUGUAAAAAAAUUCUACUAGAAAUAUCUAUUUUGGAAAAAGGAGUCUUAUUAGGGUUAGAAAAAGAAAUUCGACUCAAAUUGUAUUAGGACGGACCUCAUAUUAUAAAUAGAGGUUGUGUACCUUAUUUUUUUAAUCAUUAAUAAAAGAAAAGGAGACUUAAGUCUUACUUUCAAAAUUCUUCUAUUUUUUUUUAGUUAUCUUUCGAGAGAUUCGAGUUGAGCGAAUUGAAGAAAAUCUUCCUUCUUUCUGAUCGGAUCAAGUUGGUAUCAAAGCUUUGGUUCUGUAUAUCAGAGCUCCACCAUCCAAUGAGGAGGACAAGGAUGAGCAACCUACGAGUAUGAGAAAUCUUUCUUUCAACUAUUUGAAGUUGAGGCUCGAAUCAAGCUCCCUAUAUAUGACGGGGUUGUUGAAGUGAAAAAGCUAGAUGACUGGCUAGACCAAUUAGAUACAUACUUUACUAUCUAUGAAUACUCUAGCAUCCAAAAGGUAGUUUUUGCCCAUCUCAAGCUUUCUAGCCAUGCUCUUGCCUAGUAUAAUUCGUAUAUGAGGAACAACGACGUUUCAAAUCUGACAUGGAAUAAAUUCAAGGGCCUAAUCAAGAAGCACUUCUACCCAUUUGGCCAUGAGGAGGAUCGGUUAAUCAUGACAGAAAUAUGAUCGGUCUGUCCACGACUACACCACCGAAUUUCACAAGCAAGCAAUCUCACUUGAAAUAUCAUUCGAUGAUUAUGCAAUUUUUUAUGAAGUACACCGGAAGUCACCAUGAGAUUAUCCAAAAGGAACUAAAACUCUUCAAAGUUGAAAACAUCAGCGGAGCCAACAUGAAGGCCAAUUGAGGAGAAGAAUCAGCCUAGUAAAAGUAAAAAAGGGCAACAAGUUCAGAAAAAGUGGCAAAAAUCCAUGUUAAGACAGGGAGCAAGGCAACAAGCAUGCCUACAUGACUCAAGAAAAUUAUUGCAAUCAUUGUGACCUCCGUGGGCAAGAAAAAAUGUUAGAAACUUCACCUUGAGCUGCAACCGAAGAGAAAAACAUAGAAAGAUGAGGAUUCCAAAAAGAAGAAAAAGACGGUUCUCAAUACUGUAGAUGUUGAGGAGCUGCCCAAGCUUGAGCAAGUAGACUCUAAAUUGAGCUUGACAGCAAGAAAAUCCGAGAUAGCAACAGAAGCAGAUCUAUAGAUGCAAUAGGAACUCUUUUGCUUGAAGAUUUGGAUGAAGUAGAUGAUUGUUGAGGCCAUUGUAGAUCCCGAAAGCCAGAAAAAUCUCAUCUCUAAAAUUUUGGUUCAUAAGCUAGGGUUGCAGGCUAAGCCUCAUCUACGUUCCUACUCUCUUAGUUGAAUUCAGAAAGACGUCGAAUUGAAGAUCACAAAGUAGUACCUUCAAAUUCGCUAUAACUAAGAGGUAUAUCGUAGAUGCAACUUGUGAAAUAGUUCUUUUGGAUAUUUGCCGAAUUAUCCUUGGGAGCCCAUACCUUUGGGAUAGAGAUGCAGUCUUUUACCAACAUUUGAAGAAGUAUCAGUUUGUGAAGGACGGGAAGAAGUUUAUGAUUAACGCUUCCAAAAUACAAGAAAAUGUAGACCUUCCAAUUGCCGCCCAAGCGAAGCAACUUGUUAAUGUCUGCAACAUGUUUGUGAUGAUGGUACGAAAAUCUGAUAAUACUUAUGAUAUCGAUCUACCGAGAUCAAGACAGAGAGUCGACAUAGUUGUCAUCGACGAGGAAGGACAGCAAGAAGUGUCCCUACCACGAAGUUCAGAUGCAAGAGCAGAGUAAGUGGUUCACUGAGACUUUAGAGCGAAGAAGAGCCAAGCCAGAAACUAUCUCUAAGCAAAGCUAGAUGGUUCAACCGUGAGAUGGAAAAGCAGACAUUUCUCCAUCUUCUGUUUUGAUUUGGCAAGAGCUAAAUCUCCUAAACAAGAAAGCCCUGAUCUAAGAACAAAAAUAUGCAUUGAGAUUGUUCUGUUGCUUCAAUUGGGAUUUGUGAAAUAGUAUAACAAAUUCUUAAGAAAGAAACUACUGGAUAUGAACAAUCCGGAAUUAGGGACUCAGUGACGAUGACUAGGUUUUGCGUGUGUGUGUGUGUGUGUGUGUGUGUGUGUGUGUGUGUGUGUGUGUGUGUGUGUGUGUCNNNNNNNNNNNNNNNNNNNNGUGUGUGUGUGUGUGUGUGUGUGUGUGUGUGUGUGUGUGUGUGUGUGUGUGUGUGUGUGUUCCAUAUUCUUUAUUAUUAGGAGGGAAGUCCAAACUUUAAUUAGGAUCUCCUGGCCCUAUUUGUGUCAUGUUUGGUAUAAGGGUUUUAAUUAGGAUCGUGUAAGGGUCAAGUUUUCUGAUCCAAACUUUUAAAUGGUUCAAGUAUGGAUCCUAGUUUUGACCCAACUAUGGUUAUGAGAGCUAGUUCUGUUGAGUAGAAAAAUUUUCAAGGGAUUUAGUCAUAAUUUUAGAGGAGAAUCGAAUGAUUGAUCUUUUCUCAAUACUAUGUAUUCAAAUCAUUUUAGAAAAUAUUUUAUAAGAACGGUAAAGGCUUAAUUUGAUACGUUAAGAUAGGUUUGUUAGUAAUUUGAGUCUUCCAAAAUAAAUUACGCUGUGAUCAAAUGGGUUAUCUCAAAUGACCUGUGAUGUGUAUGGGUUGAGAAGUCUUUGAUCCGAAGUUGGGACGGAUCAUGUAUGAGCCAAGAUUUUCAAUAUUAUUGUCCUUACUUGACCUGACCCCGGCUUGAGCCAAUCCAUUAUCACCCUACUUACAGGAGAAAAGGAAGAAGUACAAUAGGCCGGUCUAAGACAUGAACCAAGGACUCAAAAUCUUAGAACAGGGUACUCAAAGUUGAAAAUCUCGAGGAAUAAAACCACUGAGGACUUGAACCAUACCUGCCGCUUGGGGAAGGAGACAACUACUAAAGUCAUAAUAUACUCCUAAUUAUCAUGGCACAACCAUGAGCCACUUCAAAUACAGAAUUUCAUAAAUAAAUAAAUAGGUUAUAUUUAUAUUCAAUAAUUUAUAAAACUAACACUUACACUCAGUUAAAUUAACAAUAUUAGUAAAACCGUUUAUCUCAUAUAAAAAGUCAAAAUUAUCCUUGAGUGAGAUGCUAUGCUACUUAAAGUUAUUUUAGACAUUUGUAUUAUUUUUUUAACAUAACAUUUGGAUCUUAUUUAAGAAUAAUGAUUUGACUAACGUUCUGUCGAGUUAUGAGUUGAAAUGUUGAACAAAACUAAACCUCGGAGGAAUAACCGUAGAUUUUUCAAACAAUUGGGUGUAAGUGUAAUUCACCUCUAAUUUUAGAAGGGUUUUUAUAAUUUACUCUAAAUAAAAUGGUAGUAAUGCAAUAGCCUAGCUACACAAACUUCUAUUAAAUAUUGGAAGAUUUUCGCUUUUUCUCAGUGGCAUAUUAGUAAAUUUUGCUUGGGUCAUGCACUAAUGAUGCUUCUGUAGAAACUGAUUUUGCUUUGUGGAUGUGAUAUCCUGCAUUAAGUUGAGAUUUCAGGUUUGUGUUACUAGAUGGUCUGCUUCAAACAAUUACCAUUAUCCAUGCAUCAAACAACUAUGGAUGACCAAACUAGACCCUCUGACAAUUGAGGAUAACUCACCCACACACAAAUAAGAAUACAUAUAGGAUAUUGAAAACAAAUGCAAAUGUAAAAUGUAUAUUAGAUUUUAUAGCUGAAUUGUUAUUUUAUGUUUUUUAACUCAAAAAAAUAAUAUAAGCAUCUCUUUUUUUUCAUCACCCUCAUCUUUUUACAACAAAAAAAUGGUACCAAAAACAACAAAGGUAUAGCCGCAUUGACUUAAUUAACUGAUGCCUUAAUAAAAAAAAUAAAGAUGGAAUAAUGCAUGAGGCUCCCAUCACUAUGAAGUCUCAUCCUCCCCUGGGAUUGUUCUGUGUUUUAAACCAUGAUACCUAGAUUACAAUUGAGCAACCUUAUUAUUGUACCAAGACUUACCCUCUCAUAUAACUACUCUAAAACAUCCUAAUAAUCUUGCCAUGCCAUGUUGACCACUUUCAAUUAAUUAUUAAGUAUACAAUCCAUUAAAUCCAAAUGUAACUAUUUAGAAAAAAAAAAAAAACUAAAGACAUAUUGAUGAUGAAACUCAUACUAUUUUAGAGUUUAUGUGCUACAUAAGAUUAAAAAGGAUUGCAGACAUAUUUGCAUAUCCAGAUACAUAUCAGAUAUUCGCGUAUUAUGCAUCCAAUUUUUUGUGUCAUAUCCAAGUGUAGAAAUUAUUCAAAUGUUAAUAUUUAUAUACAUAUUCAGGCAUAAUUGAAUUAAUUAAAAAGGAUCCAGAUGCAUUGCAGGUGCAAAUGGAUUCAGUUUCUGAAGUCAUUGGGAAACAUUGUACUGGUGACAUGGUCUGUUGUCUUGCCUAUGCUAUUUACAUUAAUUACUUCAAUAAAUUGGAUGGGGUUCGGUAACCCCUUAACUCCUUUUUCUUUUUUCUUAAAAAAAGGGUCCUUGAACAGAUUUGUCUCCUCAAUGUCUUUCAUCCAAAAGACAACCAGCCUGCUAAAGGAACACUUCUCCAAUCUCUUAAUAACUUAAUUCUUCCUUCCGUACUGGUUUUCUUUUUCUUGUUGCAGAUGCUGUGGUAUGGGUUUCAUUGAAUGUAAUGGGCCUUCAACCCUCNNNNNNNNNNNNNNNNNNNNNACACACACACAUAUACAUACAUAUAUAUAUAUACAUAUAUAUACAUACAUAUAUAUACAUACAUAUAUAUACACAUAUAUACACAUAUAUAUACACAUAUAUAAACUCACUCAUGUUGCUGAGACAAAACACAGGACAAAGUUGAUAGACAAUUGCUGGUUGAUGCUUUCUAACAAGCUGCUCUAAUAAUGCUCUAUUUCCACCAACAAACAUGUUCUAUGAAGGCAUUGGAAUAUUAGAAAAUAAAAAAUAAUAGAUAAUAAAGAACCUUAAAGGACAAGCAUUUCCGCAGAAGUACCCCAUAAGACCUAACAAGAUAAUCUAACCAAAUAUAGAGCAUCUUCAUCUAAAGAAAUGCAUCCAGUUUCUUUGCCUUGAUCGGAUGCGGUGGUCUGAAAUCCUCCAAACGAAGAUUGGAGCUCAGACAUAUUUCAUUCAAAACAGCAUCCCCUUUCUCCAUUUUGAUUACUUCCAGGAUGCUGCCAAGGACCUCAGCUGCAAGCCCGAUCCCCAAUAAGCGUCCGGGCUCCUCUCCACCUUCAUGGAUUAAUUUUCCUAUAUCUCUGAGUGGAACCACAUUUUCCAAUAUAACUCUUGCAAAGAUGCGGCCGAGAAACUCUGCUGCUCUGGGAGCAUCAUUUACAGCAUCCUCCAGCAAGGUGAGAACAGAGACAAACCUGGAAAAAAUGUGGAAGUUUUCAAGAUUUCUUUCAUCGAAACAAAUGAAUAGAUGUUCCUUUCCUAACUUUUUAUCGGGUUUUAACAACUGGCAUUCAUACCCCUGGAUGAGCUGUACUUGACUUAACAGGCUAUCUCGAGACUUGCAAAGGUUGACGAGAAGUCUAGCCAAGAGAUCCCUCUCCAUGUCUUUCCGCUCAAAGGAGUCGGUCACCCAGAGUGAUAUCAUAGCUGGAUAAAAGUUUGGACAAUUCAGUUCUUUGAUGCACAAAGAUACCUCUCCCUCGUCCCUGGCACUGAUGAGAUGAAGCGGAACAGGAAAAUAAUCAGAAACCACUCUCCAAUCAAGGUACAACAAUUUAGGAACAAGUAGGGAAGGAAAUACAACCUCACCACUCCAACUUAACAUGCAUGGCAAGUAAUAGACAAGGCCCAAAGGGACCUUGAGAAUCAUAAGCCAAAACACGAGGUUUGAGAAGUGAAAAUUCAUUUCAGGGGUAAAAGAAUGUAUGGCCUCAGGAUUUUUUAAAAAGAAGCUACUCGAACUCAUAAAUUAAACAAAAUUAAUACAAAAAUAAACAAAUCCAUAGCAAAAAUCCCACUACACAAGCAUGCUUUUAGGAAGAUGGCUCUCAGCCCAGUCCUCCCCACAAAAAUCCCAAUUACUCAGGGAAAGUCAUGUCCCCAGCAAUGGGGAGCGAAUAUACUCUAGCGUCCACAUCCAGACCAUAAAACAAUGAAGUGCAUUCCAAUAUCUGCAUCAAUCUGGAAGCAUUCAUACCCAACAUAAAAACACAACUUUGCUUCUAGUUUGCCUGUAGUAAUGACAAAUUUCCGACCAAAAAACUAGUAGUUUUUUUUUUUUUUUUUUUUUUUUUUUUUUUGUCGCUUCUGUAAGGUUGGAAUGCAAUCUAUGGUUGCUUAUGCAUGAAGUUCAACUCUUUGGUAAAAUCUACACAAAGUUGGUAAUGUUCAAACUAAUAAGUUCUGGAAAAUAUAUAAAAAUCGAAAUAACUCAAAAUAUACUUAAUGAGGAAAUGACUUAAAACAUGGGGAAAAACCUCAUCUCAGGAAAAAAAAAAAAACUAAUUUCAUAUAGUUUGAAAGAGAUAUGGGAAAUAAGGAUGCUAAAUGAUAUAAGAAUGGAAAAUUAUAUGCCUAAUCAUUAAAUAUAGAUAAACCAGCAUGACAAAGGGGAAAAGAAUGCAAUCACAGUUUAAAGAAAUAAAGCAACAAUGAAAGCUCCAAGAUCAUGCUGUACAAUCAACGGGGAAAGAAGUGAAAAUGGGAUGGGGAAAAGGAAGAUAAUGAAUGAGAUGGGGAGAAAGAAGAAAAAAGAGGCAAGCAGCUGCAAAUUUUUCUUGCACACUAAUCAUGAAUGCUACACAGAGUGCCAUAUAUUAUUAUAAAACAUAGAAGAGAAGACAUACAUUUAGGAUUUAGGUUAAAAGACCAGACGUAAACAUUCCUGAAAUUUGUUGAUCCAACAAAUGGAAUUAAUCUAUGUUCUACCUGUUGGUGUAAAUCUAAAUUAAUCUAUAUGAUAAGAUGACUAAUGUUAAAAAGAGUGAAAACCUAUAAGAAAAAAGCAAAGUAUCUUUUCUCCUCAUCACAGGGCUGCUGCCAGAGAUCAGCUAAACUGGUGACUCCAACAAUGAGAACCAUAAGCAAACAAGUGUGGAAACGAAGGGGAUGCCAGCUAACAAAGCACUACUGGCAAAAUAAUUGGCUGAUUGGCUGGCAAGGUUAAAAGGCACUAAUCUAGACUGGUUAAUAGAGACACUAGAACCUAACAUGCAGAAGAUGCCAGAAUUUACAGGGGUUUUCUCUUGAUCAUUAAGGAUAGAAGAUAAUUGUCGAUGAAAGGAAAAGGGGCCAGAAAAUCCCACGUAGCAUGACCAAACAACAGAUACGCCUGCAAUAGAUGCUAAAAACUUAGCUAAGAAGAAAGAUAAGUCUUAUGCAGCACAAGUGGUAAACAGUGGAAGGUUAUAUCAAGAUAUGUGCAAGAUAAGCAGCCAAGCAGUGUUACCUAGACACUCCAAAUUUUGGGCCUCUUGACACGUCGGACACUUGGACACUUGGGAGUCGGAAAGUUUGACACUCCUUGACUCUUUCAUACCAUCAAAUUUAUGAUGCCAUAAAUUAUUACAUGUCUAGUUUCGGCACUUCUAUUUGAAAGUAUUUAGUUAGAAACAAUUUAUGAAAUUAAGGAGAGUAAGUCUAGCUUAUAACAUGUGCAUAUAUCAAUAUACAUCCACACAUACAUAUUUAAGACAUAGACAUGUUCCUUAUUUGUUUUUCAGAAGAUUUCUAUAUCAGAUUCUUUUGGACAAUUGGACACCUAACAUCUGACAGUAGUGUCAUGUGUCCAAGUAAUAUUGCGGCUAAGACAUGGAUAUUGAUGUAAGUAUUCAUCUAGUAUGUGGUCUUGUGCAGAGGGUUAACAAAAUUAUAUGAUAGCAAUAAGUGGAUUCAAUGGACCUAGCCAUCACAAUGGUGAGUCAACAUAUGAAAGUCAAAUAAAUAGGCAUAAGAGCCAUACUGAGACCAUUUUAAAGAAGGAAAACAAAAUUUCAAACUCAAGGGUGGACAACAAUCAAGAGAAGUCAAGGGCAUAAACAAUGACAAGUAAGAAAAAAUGUGAAAUGAAGGCAACACAAUGGCACAAAAUGUAUAUGCUGAUUAGAGAAUGAGAAAGCAAGGGCUCAAAUAAGAUGUCUGGACCAAAUUAAGCAAAAAAAGCCUCAGGCAACCCUAAAGCUGCAGGAAACUAAUGUCCAAACGAGACCAUAAAAUAAGUCCAACAAAAACAAUGGAUGAUGGUACAGAGAACCAAAUAAAGCAAUAGAAUCAAAUCUCCAAGCAGAAAAGAAAGAAUACCAUGGACAAAGUGGCAUACUAAAGACUUAUGGGACAGCCAUUGCAGGCUGGCAGGAAAGAAUUAGGAUCCAAGGGCUAGAAAGAGAAGGGGGUCCCAUGGAAUGGCUCGAUGACCCAAAAAACCUAUUUUUCCAGUCAAAGAAGAGUCAACCAUUAAGAUUUCUAAGAUAUUCCUUUGUAAGGCAUUAGGGGGCUACCAUGACACCGAGGUGUGAGCUCUGAAUUAUCAAAGGUAAUGGGAACUGAUUUAGAUUUUGACUAAACCCACGAAAACCACAAAAAAGUUGAGAAUUAUAUCAUUUGGUGGUGAAACAUUGAGGAGCAUUUACACUACUAAAAAAAAAAAAACAAGAAGACACUAUGGAAUGUUCCUAGCAUGAAGAUUGAUGAGUGAUCUUUUCUUAAAAAAAGAAUAGGCAAAGAAACAGCAAACAGACACAAAG
rnacentral:lncRNA from 1 species